GAUGAACGCUGGCGGCGUGCCUAAUACAUGCAAGUCGUACGGAAAGGCCCUUCGGGGUACUCGAGUGGCGGACGGCUGAGUAACGCGUGGGAACGUGCCCCAAAGUGAGGGAUAACGCACCGAAAGGUGUGCUAAUACCGCAUAUGGUCUUCGGAUUAAAGCUUCGGCGCUUUGGGAGCGGCCCGCGUACGAUUAGAUAGUUGGUGAGGUAAUGGCUCACCAAGUCGACGAUCGUUAGCUGGUCUGAGAGGAUGAUCAGCCAGACUGGGACUGAGACACGGCCCAGACUCCUACGGGAGGCAGCAGUAAGGAAUCUUCCACAAUGGGGGCAACCCUGAUGGAGCAACGCCGCGUGCAGGAUGAAGGUUUUCGGAUCGUAAAUUGCUUUUAUAAGUGAAGAAUAUGACGGUAACUUAUGAAUAAGGAUCGGCUAACUACGUGCCAGCCGCCGCAGUAA
rnacentral:rRNA from 1 species